rnacentral:lncRNA from 1 species
AGAAGCAGAAGAAGCAGAAGAAGAAGCAGAAGAAGAAGAAGCAGAAGAAGAAGAAGAAGAAACAAAGGGGAGGAUGCAACUUGGAGAGCUACUCCAAGCUCCAGAGCCAGCCACGGAGCACUCCUGGAACUCUUUGCAGGAUCCAUCUCGAAGUUCUGACUCCCAGCAGAGAAACAACACUGGCCCAGCCCCUAGGAGAAAGCCUAACUGCAGUAAAGGAGUCCUGGAGACAGGACAAGAAUGAAGUCAAUGAAGCAUAGCAGGAGUGGAGAUAAAGACGCGCAUGAAAUUUGGUGCUGUGACUCGGAUUGGGGG